UACAGAGGGUGCGAGCGUUAAUCGGAAUUACUGGGCGUAAAGCGCGCGUAGGUGGCUAUGCAAGUCGGAUGUGAAAUCCCCGGGCUCAACCUGGGAACUGCAUUCGAGACUGCAUUGCUCGAGUAUGGGAGAGGGAAGUGGAAUUUCCGGUGUAGCGGUGAAAUGCGUAGAUAUCGGAAGGAACAUCAGUGGCGAAAGCGACUGCCUGGACCAGCACUGACACUGAGGCACGAAAGCGUGGGGAGCAAACAGG
rnacentral:rRNA from 1 species